rnacentral:rRNA from 1 species
AAAUUGAAGAGUUUGAUCAUGGCUCAGAUUGAACGCUGGCGGCAGGCCUAACACAUGCAAGUCGAACGGUAGCACAGAGAGCUUGCUCUCGGGUGACGAGUGGCGGACGGGUGAGUAAUGUCUGGGAAACUGCCUGAUGGAGGGGGAUAACUACUGGAAACGGUGGCUAAUACCGCAUAACGUCGCAAGACCAAAGAGGGGGACCUUCGGGCCUCUUGCCAUCAGAUGUGCCCAGAUGGGAUUAGCUUGUUGGUGAGGUAAUGGCUCACCAAGGCGACGAUCCCUAGCUGGUCUGAGAGGAUGACCAGCCACACUGGAACUGAGACACGGUCCAGACUCCUACGGGAGGCAGCAGUGGGGAAUAUUGCACAAUGGGCGCAAGCCUGAUGCAGCCAUGCCGCGUGUAUGAAGAAGGCCUUCGGGUUGUAAAGUACUUUCAGCGGGGAGGAAGGUGUUGUGGUUAAUAACCGCAGCAAUUGACGUUACCC